rnacentral:lncRNA from 1 species
UAUAUCAAGAUCCCUCACCAUCCAUGGAGUUGUAUCCCUUGUCGCACAUUCAAGAGGCCACUCCUGUGCCCUCUGUGAAUGAACUUCACUUUGGUACACAGUGGUUGCAUGAUAAUGAACCAUCCGAGUCUCAAGAGGCAAGAACCGGGAGGACUGUCUAUUCCCAGGAGGCACAGCCGUAUGGCUAUUGCCCUGAAAAUGUGGGCCUCUCUCUGUCGCCCAGGCUGGAGUGCAGUGCAGUGGCAUAUUCAUGGCUCACUGCAGCCUCGACCUCCCAGGCUCCAUGGAUCCUCUCACCUCGGCUUCCUGAGCUGCUGGGACCACAGGCAUGUACCACCAUGCCUGGCUAGUUUUGUUUUUUUUUUAAAUUUUUUUGUAGAGAUGGAGUUUUGCCAUGUUGCCCAGGCUGGUCUUGAACUCCUGGGGUCAAGCAUCUCCCAUCUCCCAUCUCCCAUCUCGGCCUCCCGAAGUGCUGGGAUUACAGGUAGGAGCCACUGUGCCCAGCGAAGAGCAUUAUAUUUUAAUAGAUUUGCCUUUACUAUUAUAUCACCAAUAAACUUUAUUUUUCAUAAAA